GACGAACGCUGGCGGCGUGCUUAACACAUGCAAGUCGAACGGAAAGGCCCUGCUUUUGUGGGGUGCUCGAGUGGCGAACGGGUGAGUAACACGGGAGUAACCUGCCCUUGACUUUGGGAUAACUUCAGGAAACUGGGGCUAAUACCGGAUAGGAGCUCCUGCUGCAUGGUGGGGGUUGGAAAGUUUCGGCGGUUGGGGAUGGACUCGCGGCUUAUCAGCUUGUUGGUGGGGUAGUGGCUUACCAAGGCUUUGACGGGUAGCCGGCCUGAGAGGGUGACCGGCCACAUUGGGACUGAGAUACGGCCCAGACUCCUACGGGAGGCAGCAGUGGGGAAUAUUGCACAAUGGGCGGAAGCCUAAUGCAGCAACGCCGCGUGCGGGAUGACGGCCUUCGGGUUGUAAACCGCUUUCGCCUGUGACGAAGCGUGAGUGACGGUAAUGGGUAAAGAAGCACCGGCUAACUACGUG
rnacentral:rRNA from 1 species